UUCAUGGAGAGUUUGAUCCUGGCUCAGGACGAACGCUGGCGGCGUGCCUAAUACAUGCAAGUCGAGCGGACAGAUGGGAGCUUGCUCCCUGAUGUCAGCGGCGGACGGGUGAGUAACACGUGGGUAACCUGC
rnacentral:rRNA from 1 species